GCGAUGUGCUUAAGGUAUGCAAGUCGAAUGCCGAGCUUGCUCGGCAUGGCAGACGGCUGAGUAUCACAUGGGAACGUACCCUAAACACUGGGAUAGCCCAUCGAAAGGUGGUGUAAUACCAGAUAGUCCCUGUACCAUUUUGGUAUAGGGUAAAGCUCCGGCGGUUUAGGAUCGGCCUGUGUCCUAUCAGGUAGUUGGUGGGGUAAUAGCCUACCAAGCCUAUGACGGGCAGCUGGUCUGAGAGGAUGAUCAGCCAGACUGGGACUGCGACACGGCCCAGACUCCUACGGGAGGCAGCAACUAGGAAUCAUGCGCAAUGGACGAAAGUCUGACGCUGCGACAUCGCGUGGAGGAUGAAGGUCUUCGGAUUGUAAACUCCUUUUAUUGGGGAACAAGUUCUGAGUGUACCCAAUGAAUAAGUGCCUGCUAACCACGUGCCAGAAGCAUCGGUAAUGCGUGGGGCACAAGCGUUAUCCGGAUUUACUGGGCGUAAAGUGAUGCGUAGGCGGCUUUAUAAGUCUAAUGUUAAAUCCUUCGGCUCAACCGAAGAACCGCGUUAGAAACUGUAAAGAUUGAGUUAGGUAGAGAAAGGGGGAAUUCCUGGUGGAGUGGUUAAAUACGUUGAUAUCAGGAGGAACACCGACUGCGAAGGCACCCUUUUGGACCUGUACUGACGCUCAUGCUCGAAAGCGUGGGGAGCAAAACGGAUUAGAUACCCGUGUAGUCCACGCCGUAAACG
rnacentral:rRNA from 1 species